rnacentral:rRNA from 1 species
GGACUACCAGGGUAUCUAAUCCCGUUCGCUCCCCUAGCUUUCGCGCCUCAGCGUCAGAAGAGGUCCAGCACGUCGCUUUCGCCACCGGCGUUCCUUCCGAUAUCAACGCAUUUCACCGCUCCACCGGAAGUUCCACAUGCCCCUACCUCGCUCUAGACAACCAGUAUCAAAGGCUAUUUUCCGGUUAAGCCGAAAGAUUUCACCCCUGACUUGGCCGCCCGCCUACGCGCCCUUUAAGCCCAGUGAUUCCGAACAACGUUUGCACGGUUCGUCUUACCGCGGCGGCUGGCAC